ACGCUGGCGGCACGCUUAACACAUGCAAGUCGAACGAGAUCUUCGGAUCUAGUGGCAGACGGGUGCGUAACGCGUGGGAACCUGCCCUUUAGUAAGGAAUAACUCAGGGAAACUUGUGCUAAUACCUUAUAAUCCCUUCGGGGGAAAGCUUUAUGCGCUAAUGGAUGGGCCCGCGUUAGAUUAGCUUGUUGGUGAGGUAAUGGCUCACCAAGGCUACGAUCUAUAGCUGGUCUGAGAGGAUGAUCAGCCACACUGGGACUGAGACACGGCCCAGACUCCUACGGGAGGCAGCAGUGGGGAAUAUUGGACAAUGGGGGCAACCCUGAUCCAGCGAUGCCGCGUGAGUGAUGAAGGCCCUAGGGUUGUAAAACUCUUUCGCCAGGGAAGAUAAUGACGGUACCUGGUAAAGAAGAUCCGGCUAACUCCGUGCCAGCAGCCGCGGUAAUACGGAGGGAUCUAGCGUUAUUCGGAAUAACUGGGCGUAAAGCGAGCGUAGGCGGAUUUGUAAGUUGGAGGUGAAAUCCCAGGGCUUAACCCUGGAACUGCCUUCAAAACUACAUUUCUUGAGUUUGGUAGAGGAGAGUGGAAUUCCUAGUGUAGAGGUGAAAUUCGUAGAUAUUAGGAGGAACACCAGUGGCGAAGGCGACUCUCUGGGCCAAUACUGACGCUGAGGUUCGAAAGCGUGGGGAGCGAACGGGAUUAGAUACCCCGGUAGUCCACGCAGUAAACGAUGAGUGCUAGAUGUUGGGAACAUUAGUUUUCAGUAUCGCAGCUAACGCGUUAAGCACUCCGCCUGGG
rnacentral:rRNA from 1 species